UAAUCCGGCCGGGCUCAGUAGCUCAUGC
rnacentral:piRNA from 1 species